rnacentral:rRNA from 1 species
AGACCCGAAACCCGGUGAUCUAGCCAUGGGCAGGUUGAAGGUUGGGUAACACUAACUGGAGGACCGAACCGACUAAUGUUGAAAAAUUAGCGGAUGACUUGUGGCUGGGGGUGAAAGGCCAAUCAAACCGGGAGAUAGCUGGUUCUCCCCGAAAGCUAUUUAGGUAGCGCCUCGUGAAUUCAUCUCCGGGGGUAGAGCACUGUUUCGGCAAGGGGGUCAUCCCGACUUACCAACCCGAUGCAAACUGCGAAUACCGGAGAAUGUUAUCACGGGAGACACACGGCGGGUGCUAACGUCCGUCGUGAAGAGGGAAACAACCCAGACCGCCAGCUAAGGUCCCAAAGUCAUGGUUAAGUGGGAAACGAUGUGGGAAGGCCCAGACAGCCAGGAUGUUGGCUUAGAAGCAGCCAUCAUUUAAAGAAAGCGUAAUAGCUCACUGGUCGAGUCGGCCUGCGCGGAAGAUGUAACGGGGCUAAACCAUGCACCGAAGCUGCGGCAGCGACACUGUGUGUUGUUGGGUAGGGGAGCGUUCUGUAAGCCUGUGAAGGUGUGCUGUGAGGCAUGCUGGAGGUAUCAGAAGUGCGAAUGCUGACAUAAGUAACGAUAAAGCGGGUGAAAAGCCCGCUCGCCGGAAGACCAAGGGUUCCUGUCCAACGUUAAUCGGGGCAGGGUGAGUCGACCCCUAAGGCGAGGCCGAAAGGCGUAGUCGAUGGGAAACAGGUUAAUAUUCCUGUACUUGGUGUUACUGCGAAGGGGGGACGGAGAAGGCUAUGUUGGCCGGGCGACGGUUGUCCCGGUUUAAGCGUGUAGGCUGGUUUUCCAGGCAAAUCCGGAAAAUCAAGGCUGAGGCGUGAUGACGAGGCACUACGGUGCUGAAGCAACAAAUGCCCUGCUUCCAGGAAAAGCCUCUAAGCAUCAGGUAACAUCAAAUCGUACCCCAAACCGACACAGGUGGUCAGGUAGAGAAUACCAAGGCGCUUGAGAGAACUCGGGUGAAGGAACUAGGCAAAAUGGUGCCGUAACUUCGGGAGAAGGCACGCUGAUAUGUAGGUGAAGUCCCUCGCGGAUGGAGCUGAAAUCAGUCGAAGAUACCAGCUGGCUGCAACUGUUUAUUAAAAACACAGCACUGUGCAAACACGAAAGUGGACGUAUACGGUGUGACGCCUGCCC